UGGGGAAUACUGCACAAUGGGCGAAAGCCUGAUGCAGCAACGCCGCGUGAGUGAUGAAGGCCUUCGGGUUGUAAAGCUCUGUCUUUUGGGACGAUAAUGACGGUACCAAAGGAGGAAGCCACGGCUAACUACGUGCCAGCAGCCGCGGUAAUACGUAGGUGGCAAGCGUUGUCCGGAUUUACUGGGCGUAAAGGAUGCGUAGGCGGAUUUUUAAGUGAGAUGUGAAAACCCUAAGCUUAACUUGGGGACUGCAUUUCAUACUGGAAAUCUAGAGUGCGGGAGAGGAGAAUGGAAUUCCUAGUGUAGCGGUGAAAUGCGUAGAGAUUAGGAAGAACACCAGUGGCGAAGGCGAUUCUCUGGACCGUAACUGACGCUGAGGCAUGAAAGCGUGGGUAGCAAACAGGAUUAGAUACCCUGGUAGUCCACGCCGUAAACGAUGAGUACUAGGUGUAGGAGGUAUCGACCCCUUCUGUGCCGCAGUUAACACAAUAAGUACUCCGCCUGGGAAGUACGAUCGCAAGAUUAAAACUUAAAUGAAUUGACGGGGUCAUAGCUGUUUCCU
rnacentral:rRNA from 1 species